GGGGACCGCAAGGCCUUGCGCUCAUGGAGCGGCCGAUGGCAGAUUAGGUAGUUGGUGGGAUAAAAGCUUACCAAGCCGACGAUCUGUAGCUGGUCUGAGAGGACGACCAGCCACACUGGGACUGAGACACGGCCCAGACUCCUACGGGAGGCAGCAGUGGGGAAUUUUGGACAAUGGGGGAAACCCUGAUCCAGCCAUGCCGCGUGCAGGAUCAAGGCCUUCGGGUUGUAAACUGCUUUUGUACGGAACGAAAAGGUCUUUUCUAAUAAAG
rnacentral:rRNA from 1 species